UACAGAGGGUGCGAGCGUUGUUCGGAAUUACUGGGCGUAAAGCGCGCGCAGGCGGCCUUUUAAGUCUGACGGUGAAAUGCCGGGGCUCAACCCCGUGCCCGCCGGAGAUACUGGGAGGCUGGAGACGAGUAGAGGCAAGCGGAAUUCCGGGUGUAGCGGUGGAAUGCGCAGAUAUCAGGAGGAACACCGGUGGCGAAGGCGGGUCUCUGGGCCGAUACUGACGCUGAGGAGCGAAAGCGUGGGGAGCGAACAGG
rnacentral:rRNA from 1 species